rnacentral:rRNA from 1 species
AAUCCGGCACUCUUAAGAUUGAGCUGUGAUGGGGAGAGGAACUUGUUCCUCGAGUCGUUGAUUUCACACUGCCGAGAAAAGCCUCUAGCUAGAAUAACGGUGCCCGUACCGCAAACCGACACAGGUAGUCAAGAUGAGAAUUCUAAGGUGAGCGAGCGAACUCUCGUUAAGGAACUCGGCAAAAUGACCCCGUAACUUCGGGAGAAGGGGUGCUCUUUGAGGUUCACGCUUCGAAGAGCCGCAGUGAAUAGGCCCAAGCGACUGUUUAUCAAAAACACAGGUCUCUGCUAAACCGUAAGGUGACGUAUAGGGGCUGACGCCUGCCCGGUGCUGGAAGGUUAAGAGGAGUGGUUAGCGCAAGCGAAGCUACGAAUCGAAGCCCCAGUAAACGGCGGCCGUAACUAUAACGGUCCUAAGGUAGCGAAAUUCCUUGUCGGGUAAGUUCCGACCCGCACGAAAGGCGUAACGAUUUGGGCACUGUCUCAACGAGAGACUCGGUGAAAUCAUAGUACCGGUGAAGAUGCCGGUUACCCGCGACAGGACGGAAAGACCCCGUGGAGCUUUACUGUAGCCUGAUAUUGAAAUUCGGUACAGUUUGUACAGGAUAGGUAGGAGCCUUAGAAGCGUGAGCGCUAGCUUACGUGGAGGCAUUGGUGGGAUACUACCCUAAUUGUAUUGGAUUUCUAACCCGCAGCACUUAUCGUGCUGGGAGACAGUGUCAGGCGGGCAGUUUGACUGGGGCGGUCGCCUCCUAAAGAGUAACGGAGGCGCUCAAAGGUUCCCUCAGAAUGGUUGGAAAUCAUUCAUAGAGUGUAAAGGCAUAAGGGAGCUUGACUGCGAGACCUACAAGUCGAGCAGGGUCGAAAGACGGACUUAGUGAUCCGGUGGUUCCGCAUGGAAGGGCCAUCGCUCAACGGAUAAAAGCUACCCCGGGGAUAACAGGCUUAUCUCCCCCAAGAGUUCACAUCGACGGGGAGGUUUGGCACCUCGAUGUCGGCUCAUCGCAUCCUGGGGCUGUAGUCGGUCCCAAGGGUUGGGCUGUUCGCCCAUUAAAGCGGUACGCGAGCUGGGUUCAGAACGUCGUGAGACAGUUCGGUCCCUAUCCGUCGUGGGCGUAGGAAAUUUGAGAGGAGCUGUCCUUAGUACGAGAGGACCGGGAUGGACAUACCUCUGGUGUACCAGUUGUCGUGCCAACGGCAUAGCUGGGUAGCUAUGUAUGGACGGGAUAAGUGCUGAAAGCAUCUAAGCAUGAAGCCCCCCUCGAGAUGAGAUUUCCCAACUUC